UACGUAGGGUCCGAGCGUUGUCCGGAGUGCCUGGGCGUAAAGCGCGCGCAGGCGGCCCGCUAGGUGUCCUGUGAAAGCCCCGUGCUCAACGCGGGAGGGUCAGGGCAAACCGGCGGGCUUGAGGCCGGUAGAGGUGGGUGGAACUCCUGGUGGAGUGGUGAAAUGCGUAGAGAUCAGGAAGAACACCCGUGGCGAAGGCGGCCCACUGGGCCGGACCUGACGCUGAGGCGCGAAGGCGUGGGGAGCGAACGGG
rnacentral:rRNA from 1 species